UGGUGGCGGCGGCGGCCGUUCCUCGUCCUGACCGACACCUGCGCCGCCUUUGCAGGGACCGCCACGAAGGACGAAGACCACCUCCGAGCGGGACCCGCCGGCGGGGGGCUGCUUGCUCGUUACCAAGGCAACCGCUCCUUCUCGGCACCCCAAACACGGCAGAGGGGCCAGGGCCGUGGAAGCAACCAGAAGAGCGCCCUCGGGCCCCGCCUCGAGGCCCUUGGCGGGAAGAGGAGAAGACGAGCGGUGCCUGGACUGGCCUGCAAUAACCGGAAGCACCUGGAACGUGAUGGGGGCCCUCCGAGAAGCCCCUGCAGGGGUGGGGUGGGGAGGGGAGUCCACGGAGCGUGGCCCGGGCAGCACCCGCGGCGGCUUCGCCCUUGCUGCCCCUGCUCGGUGGGGCGCCCCUUCCGGCUCUGGAACCGGUUCCCGGGACACGCAGGGAUGCUGUGGAGGACGCAAGGCCCGGCGGGUGGGCGCUUGGAGGCCACCCUCUCUGGGGCCCCGCCCCGCCCCGCCCUUCCGCGGACACGCGGCCGCGUGGAGCACGGGUGGAGCGCAGCCGAAGAAGCCCGGCCCGCUCGCUGCUCAGGCAGCUCUCGCAGGCGGCAGCGUCGUGGCUCCGGCGCGGGAUGGCGCCCGUGGCCGCCGCGUCCCAGCGCCGAGGACUGACGGAGCCCGUCCUCCUCUUCGCCCAUCAGCCGUGCCGUGGCCGCCAAAGCCACCCAAGAAGGGGCCACCGCGGUGGUGAGGAAGACAGACCCAAGCGCCUGAUUCCCGUUCUGAGAACCUGGCCUGUGACCGGAAGAGGUCCCAACUGAGAUCCUGGCCUUGGCCCCCAUUUCUCCUCCGAGUCAGGACCGCCACGUGGGCUCUGCCCCCACCAUCCAGCGGCUUCUCUGUGGGGAUCUGUUUGCUGGAUCUGCUCCCUCCCCCACGCCCUUUGAGGCACCGCAUCGAAGGCUGCCAGUCACGUCGUCGUCGUCGUCUCUCAUUAAUGCUUCGGAGGAGGAACGAGACAAUAUAAUCGCUCCCUGCACACCUGUCAGGUUCUGCUGGAAUAGAGGUCCCGCUCUCCAAGGAGGAACGUCUGCCACGAGGGGACACGCAGGCUAGCCUGGGCUUCUUCACACGGAGGAUACAGAGUCCCAGAGAGAACACCGGGAAACGUCCAAAACCUGUCGAUGCCUAGGCUGGAACUGGUAUGGUGUCCCUUCUCACACAUUCUGUUGGCCAAGAAACAUCACAAGGUGCCUUUCAUAGGCACGAGAACUAAGGUACUCUCUCAUUUCCGCCAAGUUGCUGGGAUGAAAACAUCUUGUCGCUCAUUCAGUCUGUCUCAAAUGCCACUAGCUUGCUCGGCAAACACGGACUUCUCUCUGCUUCUCUCUGGACCUUCUUCUCCUCUUGAGGAGCCCUCUUUUGAUUGUUCCUGGGCUCUAAGACUCCUCGGAUUAGUAUUUUGCUCCACACAGGUUGAGUAGCAGGUAAUGGGCUCGGUGUUCCCACUUCCAGUUAGAUGUCCUGGCUGAACAUAAAUACAGAAUAGGACAGAGAUAAGUAAGGGUCAAAAAUAAACUACAGUUAACUCUUACUCAUUCAUGGGAAAAUAUCUACAACUUGUGUUUAGUACUGAGCAGGAACCCUGCAUCCUUUCUACUUCUGGACUGCUCACCUAAACCAGUUGUGGUGAAUCUGAGCAGACGAUAUAUUUUUAAUUAUGGAUGACCAGUUGUUAAGAGUGUGUGCGUUGCUGUGUAACAAAGGGCCCCCGCGUUCAAUGGCCUGAACCAACAAUGCUUUAUUAUUUCCCACAAUUUAGUGGCUCAGCUGGACAUUUCACCUGCCCCAUGCACUGCUGGCUGAAGUCACAUAUUCAUUUGCAUUAAUUUAAGAGAUUGACUGGGGCUAGAAUGUCCAUAGUAACCUCAUUCACAUGCUCAUGUAGGAGUUGAUAGGGGUCUCAGAGCUCAUGUAGGUAGGUCACGUAGGAAGACUGCAAUGUCUGGAGGUCAGCGGGCCCUCUCUCUCCAUCAGGGUGGCUGGGACCUUACGAGGUGGUUCAAAAAAGUGAAAGAUGAAGCUACCAAAACUCUUAAGAGUUCGAGUCAGAAUUGCCAGAGCGUUACUUCCGCUGCCUUCUGCUGAUUAAAACAAAUCAAAGCCUAGCCAAGCUUCAAGAGGCAGAAUCCACCUGUCAACGGGAAGAGUUCCAUGUGCAUACAAAAGUGGAACAUAAGAAGAGUCAUUUGUGACCAUAUUUGGAGACAACCUCCCAGCCUGCCCUGUAGCCACAGCGAUUUAUGUGCCUCCCAUGUGCAAAUAUUAUCUGCCCAACCCAAAGAUCUUCAGUGUCAUUCCAACAGUGCCUCAGGCUGAGACCCAAAGCCAGGAUUUAAAGCCGGGUCUGGCUGUGGCUAGAUGUGGAUGAAACUACUCAGAGAGACACACAGCGCAAGUCGGGGAGGGGCAGAGACAGAGGCGAGAGAGAAGCCCA